GGCUUCUUGGUCUAGUAGCAUGAUACCUCCUUCGGGUCUAUAGGUCCAUGGCAGAUGCCAUAUCAUUGGAGGUGGUCCCGGGUUCAAUUCCCGGAGGAGCCC